rnacentral:rRNA from 1 species
CCUACGGGCGUCAGCAGUGAGGAAUAUUGGUCAAUGGGCUUACGCCUGAACCAGCCAAGUCGCGUGAGGGAAGACUGCCCUAUGGGUUGUAAACCUCUUUUGUCAGGGAGCAACGCCGGCUACGUGUAGCCGGACUGAGAGUACCUGAAGAAAAAGCAUCGGCUAACUCCGUGCCAGCAGCCGCGGUAAUACGGAGGAUGCGAGCGUUAUCCGGAUUGAUUGGGUUUAAAGGGUGCGUAGGCGGAAUGCCAAGUCAGCGGUAAAAUCGCGGGGCUCAACCUCGCUCCGCCGUUGAAACUGGCGUUCUUGAGUGGGCGAGAAGUAUGCGGAAUGCGUGGUGUAGCGGUGAAAUGCAUAGAUAUCACGCAGAACUCCGAUUGCGAAGGCAGCAUACCGGCGCCCAACUGACGCUGAAGCACGAAAGCGUGGGUAUCGAACAGGAUUAGAUACCCUUGUAGUC